rnacentral:sRNA from 1 species
GCACGCGUGCUUGCAUGCAGGGCCAUGACUUUGGGACCCGCCCCAACAUGAGGAUGAAGCACAAAAGUGCGGGAAUCCGAAUGGUGGGAAGGAUUGCGGGAGCGCGAAGCGCGGAGCAAUCCGGGGU